GGAAGGUGGGGAUGACGUCAAAUCAGCACGGCCCUUACGUCCGGGGCUACACACGUGUUACAAUGGGGGGUACAGAAGGCAGCUACACGGCGACGUGAUGCUAAUCCCUAAAGCCUCUCUCAGUUCGGAUUGGAGUCUGCAACCCGACUCCAUGAAGCUGGAUUCGCUAGUAAUCGCGCAUCAGCCACGGCGCGGUGAAUACGUUCCCGGGCCUUGUACACACCGCCCGUCAAGCCAUGAAAGCCGGGGGUACCUGAAGUGCGUAACCGCAAGGAGCGCCCUAGGGUAAAACUGGUGAUUGGNGCUAAGUCGUAACAAGGUA
rnacentral:rRNA from 1 species